rnacentral:tRNA from 1 species
GUGAUCGUAGCUCAGUUGGUUAGAGCGUCAGAUUGUGGCUCUGAAGGUCGGGGGUUCGAAUCCCCUCGGUCACCCCA